CCCAACCUUAUAAAUUACAUUGAAACCACCCCAACCUUAUGGUCCUUAUCUUCAUAAUUGCCCAUCUAAUCAGCAUUUCCAACAUCUCCAAUGUCGAACGGGUGGAAAAUUCAACCUAAUAUAAAAAACAAAAAACGCUUGUCCAGUACUCAAAAAUCGCUUGUCCAAUACUACCAAUGACAACCGAUACCGAUCAGCUUCCUAAGCUGUCUAGGAUUAGAA
rnacentral:lncRNA from 1 species